UCAACUUCACCUUGAACCCAUCAAGUACUACUCCACUCAGUCCCGAUAGAUCCCACAGUUCUUUAGGGUCAAACUGUGGAAUUGGAAAGGGUUUUUGAAGUUCAAUAAGGUGUCUGCCAGGAGGAGCAACAGGGCAGUUGUACAACAGGGUAAUGUUUCUGUACUCAUCAUGAUAAGGAUAAUAAUCGAAGUGCUGCAAAUCAAGAAUGGAAUCUUUUAGAUAUGUUGGACAACUUCCCUCCCCCAUCUCCAACACGUCUUCUCUUGCAAUUUUAAGAGUUGGAUGCCCCAGUUUGAUGACCCGGUAUUUAACUCCCAUGAUGAGCAUGGUGGUGAUAUUACGACUCUCAUCGCAAACGAGCUCAAAUCUUGGAAGCCCACAUUCCCUGGGCCUUUGACCAUCUCCCCAGAAAGGAUAACCCACAUCCUUGAUACUGUCGCCACAGCUGAAAUUUUUUUCGCAGUGGCUGUAUAAUUCAUCGUUGUAGCAUAAACAUAGAGGAAUUCGAAUGAGAGCCAAUAGUUCAAUGAUAGAGAAGAGGGAGAGAAACGAAGAAAAAAUCUGGAAAUUCAUUUGAUGAACCAGAAAAUGGGCUUUUCUCGAUCUGAAUAGUGGAGAGAGAUGGGGAAAGCUACCAAAUCUAGUUAUCUUAUUUGGUGGGUGAUGGGAAAUUGCCUGGCUGACACGGGAGGAAGGGACUGCUGAGGCCAUGAAUAUUUCGCCAGUUACUUGGCAUCCAUAUUUGAUGCGUUACGAAUGGUUUAAGAGUCCUUACCCCGAAGACCCGCAGCUUGACCUUGUAAAUGGGUACAGCAGAGUGGCUGUGUCGCCCAUGAAGAUGAGAGCAUACAGUUGAAAAAAUCAAACCAGUGCUUAUUGAGACUCUUCGGCCCACCUCGCACUUCACGGUGUUUGGCUGAAAAUAAUACGGUAAGCAGAGCACAGCAAUGUAGAGGAUUCAUAAAGCAAAUUACAGAAUGCACAAAACGAAGGGACAGAAGAGCUCACUUCGUAGAAUCUGAGAUGAAUGAGUUACAAUGAACAAAAGGACAAGCUAAUAAUUAAUAUAAUUAGGGGCAGGGGAGAUCUAGGAAUUUUUAGUGGUGAUGAAUUAAUAUUUAUAGUGACGAAGUGAGUAGUAUAGAAAACUAUUUAAGAGAAGGCAAAUGUUUAUCAAUUAUUGUAAGUCUCACUAAUAAUUUUAAAUGUCUUUAGCCUAGUUGUCUCUCUCCCUGAACACUAGUUGCUUCCAAAAAUGUGAUUAAUGAAUUGAAUUGCUUUAUAGUUUA